AGAUGUGUGUGAAAACAUAUUCUUUCGUCCAGUAUCUCUGAGGGAGGAUCCAACAUCAAUAUUCCUUUAGCUGAAAACAAUAAUUUAUUCUUCCAGCUGGUAUUUGUCUGGAUUCCUCUGAAACCCAACCAAGGGAUAGAAAGACAGAAAAUACUCAGGCCACUGAAAUCUGUCUGACUCCAAAUCCACUCUUUCUAUCUGACAUUGUCCCAGCUGUUUGGUUAGUGAUGCUGUCAUAAAAGAAUACAUUGUGACUUUAGUUGUGAGGUUGCAGAAUUUGUUAAGUUAAGCAGCAAACCAGCUAAGAACAAAAGUAGGUUAACAAAAGCUUGUAUUAAUUUAUUGAUGAGAGUUGAAAAGGAAGAAAAAGAUUAUGACGUUUAAGGAAUGGUACUGAAUUACUAGGUUUCUUGGAGGAACUCCGCUAUGCUGUUCAACAAAAACCUGUGCUUACUUGCUCACUUUUAACCCCACUUGGAUAGAUGGUCCAGAAAAUCUAGCUUUUUCCAUUGUCCCAUCCAAAACUAUUUAUUCAGUACCUACUUCUUGCUGAGCACUAUAGAGCUGGUGGCCUAUAAUUUGGCAAGCAGAUGGCAUCUUGAGCAAAGAAAAGAGAUAUAUCACAACACACAGCUGGGGCAAACGGCACGUGCUGGAGUUCAUUCCCACUCUCCCCCGGGCCGAGGGUUCCAAAGCAGUCCCGCCCUGUAAAAGCUCACCCAGCAGCCCAGGCCAAGCUUCAAAAUCUCCUGCCACAUGGCACAUGUUGAAGAAAGAGAGCUAAGUAAACGUAAUUUCUACCCUAAGAAGAUAUGUCUUCCUGUAGAUUGAUGUCCCUUGAUCUCAUUAUCACCCCA
rnacentral:lncRNA from 1 species